GCCGCGCCCUCUCUUUAUAUAUCAUAUCCUCCGUGAGGUGAUACUGCGGAAGGAUCAUUAAAGAGUAAGGGUCUCAGCGCCCGACCUCCAACCCUUUGUUGUUAAAACUACCUUGUUGCUUUGCGGGACCGCUCGGUCUCGAGCGCUGGGGAUUCGUCCCAGCGAGCGCCCGCCAGAGUUAAACCAAACUCUUGUUAUUAAACCGGUCGUCUGAGUUAAAAUUUUGAAUAAAUCAAAACUUUCAACAACGGAUCUCUUGGUUCUCGCAUCGAUGAAGAACGCAGCGAAAUGCGAUAAGUAAUGUGAAUUGCAGAAUUCAGUGAAUCAUCGAAUCUUUGAACGCACAUUGCGCCCCUUGGUAUUCCGAGGGGCAUGCCUGUUCGAGCGUCAUUACACCACUCAAGCUAUGCUUGGUAUUGGGUGCCGUCCUUAGUUGGGCGCGCCUUAAAGACCUCGCGAGGUCACCGGCUUUAGGCGUAGUAGAAUUUAUUCGAACGUCUGUCAAAGGAGAGGACUUCUGCCGACUGAAACCUUUUAUUUUUCUGGGUUGACCUCGGGUCGGGUGCGGGAGCCCGCUGCGAGCUUACACAAC
rnacentral:rRNA from 1 species